rnacentral:rRNA from 1 species
AACGAACGUUAGCGGCGCGCCUAACACAUGCAAGUCGCACGAGAAAGGGCUUCGGCCCUGGUACAGUGGCGCACGGGUGAGUAACACGUGGGUAACGUUCCCUUAGGCAGGGGAUAACCUUCCGAAAGGAGGGCUAAUACCGCAUAUGACCACGGCCUCGAAAGAGGCUGCGGUGAAAGCAGGCCUCUACAUGUAAGCUUGCACCUGAGGAUUGGUCCACGGCCCAUCAGCUAGUUGGUAGGGUAACGGCCUACCAAGGCAAAGACGGGU